GACGAACGCUGGCGGCGUGCCUAAUACAUGCAAGUCGAACGCAGUGGGGACGGGUGAGUAACACGUGGGUAACCUCCCAUCAGAGGGGAUAACACUUGGAAACAGGUGCUAAACCGAUACUGAUGGAUGGACCCGCGGUGCAUUAGCUAGUUGGUGAGGUAACGGCUCACCAAGGCCACGAUGCAUAGCCGACCUUGGAGGGUGGUCGGCCACACUGGGACUGGGGCACGGCCCAGACACCUACGGGAGGCAACAGUAAGGAAUCUUCGGCCAAUGACUGAAGUCUUACCGAUCCACGCCGCGUGAAUUAAGAAGGUUUUCGGAUCGUAAAGCUCUGUUGUAAGAGAAGCGGUAUCUUACCAGAAAGGGACGGCUAACUACGUGCCAGCAGCCGCGGUAAUAC
rnacentral:rRNA from 1 species